CGUGGCUCCCGAGCUCAGCAGUCACGGGUCGGUGUAGUAGUCCCGGCUGUAGUUCUCUUUCCGGGGACUUCAUGAUUGUUCGGCAUUCCUAUAGCAGUAUCUCCUACAGAAGAUGCCGGUGACUCCUUAGGAGGCUGGUGGCUGCACUGGAGCCGAGGGGAAUCUGGAAAGGCCUGGACUCCGCUUCACAUUACGGUUCUGAUGAACCAGCUUUAGCUGCUGGCAUGUGGAGGGCUGGUGACAGAGACUGCUGCAGUCAGCUUGUGACCACAGGGGGACAACCCGGAAGACAAAGGCCUGGACAUGGAGACUCCAGAGCAGAAAGAGCCUGGUGAUGUCCCCGAGCCCCUGAUCUUGUUGGUUCUAGGAUCGUCCACCUUGGGAUUAUGAUUUCGUAGAUAAUAAAUACAGUUUUACAGUUUGAGUAAA